rnacentral:rRNA from 1 species
UACAGAGGUCUCGAGCGUUGUUCGGAUUCAUUGGGCGUAAAGGGUGCGUAGGUGGCGCUGUAAGUCGGGUGUGAAAUCCUGGGGCUUAACCCCGGAACUGCAUUCGAUACUGCAGUGCUUGAGGACUGGAGAGGAGACUGGAAUUCAUGGUGUAGCAGUGAGAUGCGUAGAGAUCAUGAGGAAGACCAGUGGCGAAGGCGGGUCUCUGGACAGUUCCUGACACUGAGGCACGAAGGCCAGGGGAGCAAACGGG